GAGUUUGAUCCUGGCUCAGGAUUAACGCUGGCGGCGUGCCUAAUACAUGCAAGUCGAACGGAAGUACCUUCGGGUACUUUAGUGGCGAACGGGUGAGUAAUACAUAGGUAACCUACCCUUAAGACGAGGAUAGCCAUUGGAAACGAUGGAUAAAACUGGAUAGGAUAUAGAGGAAGAAUCUUUUAUAUUUAAAAGAGAGAUCUGCUUAAGGAGGGGCCUGUGGCGCAUUAGCUAGUUGGUGGGGUAAGGGCCUACCAAGGCGAUGAUGCGUAGCCGGACUGAGAGGUUGAACGGCCACAAUGGAACUGAGAACGGUCCAUACUCCUACGGGAGGCAGCAGUAGGGAAUUUUCGGCAAUGGGGGGAACCCUGACCGAGCAACGCCGCGUGAACGAAGAAGUUAUUCGUAAUGUAAAGUUCUUUUAUCAGGGAAGAAAGAGGAAUUGAC
rnacentral:rRNA from 1 species